rnacentral:rRNA from 2 species
GCUGAAUGUGGGGAUAAUUUAUCUCCGUGUUGUAGCUAACGCGUUAAGCACUCCGCCUGGGGACUACGGUCGCAAGACUAAAACUCAAAGGAAUUGACGGGGACCCGCACAAGCGGUGGAGCAUGUGGUUUAAUUCGAUGCAACGCGAAAAACCUUACCACUCCUUGACAUGGAGAUUAGAUCCUUCUUAACAGAAGGGCGCAGUUCGGCUGGAUCUCGCACAGGUGCUGCAUGGCUGUCGUCAGCUCGUGUCGUGAGAUGUUGGGUUAAGUCCCGCAACGAGCGUAACCCUCAUCCUUAGUUGCCAGCGGGUAAGCCGGGCACUUUAAGGAAACUGCCGGUGGUAAACCGGAGGAAGGUGGGGAUGAUGUCAAGUCAGCACGGCCCUUAUGGGGUGGGCUACACACGUGCUACAAUGGUGACUACAAUAGGUUGCAAUGUCGCAAGGCUGAGCUAAUCCGUAAAAGUCAUCUCAGUUCGGAUUGUCCUCUGCAACUCGAGGGCAUGAAGUCGGAAUCGCUAGUAAUCGUGGAUCAGCAUGCCACGGUGAAUACGUUCUCGGGUCUUGUACACACUGCCCGUCACGCCAUGGGAAUUGGCUUAACUCGAAGCUGGUGCGCUAACCGAAAGGAAGCAGCCAU